UACGUAGGGGGCGAGCGUUGUCCGGAUUUACUGGGCGUAAAGCGCGUGUAGGCGCUUCGCAAGUCGGAUGUGAAAGCCCUGGGCUCAACCCAGGAAGUGCAUUCGAAACUGCAGAGCUGGAGUCCUGGAGAGGAAGGCGGAAUUCUCGGUGUAGAGGUGAAAUUCGUAGAUAUCGAGAGGAACACCGGUGGCGAAGGCGGCCUUCUGGACCGACACUGACGCUGGAGGCGCGAAAGCUAGGGGAGCAAACGGG
rnacentral:rRNA from 1 species